UCUGCAGGAGCUGCUGGAGGACUGCUGGGACCCCGACCCCGAAGCGCGGCUGUCGGCCGAGCGCGCCCUGCAGCGCCUACAGCGCUUGGCGGCUCCCCCCGAACCCCCCCAGCGGAGCUGACCCGGAGGUCCCGGAGCAACUUUGGCCAUGUGGGACCCCAAUGCAGGGCAACCACCCCCCCCCAACCCCGUGUAUCCCCCACAGCCACCCCCCCCCAACCCCUCCUACCCCCCCCACCCCACGGUCCCCCUGUACCCCCCUGGGCAGCCCCUGUGCCCCCCCGCAGCUCCCCCAAGCACCCCUAUAGCCCCCCCAUACCCCCCUAGCACCCCUCCGUACCCCCCUGGUGCUGUCCUGCCCCCCUCGGUUCCUCUGUGCCCAACGGGACCCCCAGGGUGCCCCCCCCUGCAGCCCCCCUAUGCUGGGGUUCCCCCUCUGAUCCCCCCUGGGCUGGACAAGAAGGCGGCGAAGAAGAUGAAGAAGAGGAUGAAGAAGGCUCAAAAGAGGCACAAGCGCAAUUUGUCCUCCUCCUCUUCCUCCUCCUCCUCCUCCAGCAGCGACUCCGACUGAUGGCGGUGCCACCAUCGGUGUCCUGGGGCCACUUGGGGGCCACCCGUGUCCUCCUGUGGCCCCCCCACGUGCUGUGACUACCUGUGGGACCACCCAUGGGCACCUCCUGGAGUCCCACAGGACCACCCCUGACCACGUGGAACCCACGACCACCUGGGAGCAUCCGUGACCACCCCAUGUCCAUGUAGGAUCUCCUGAAGUCACUCAUGACCACCCCAUAUCUGAGACCUCCUGGGACCCCCCCACAACCCCCCCCAUGACCCUCAUGACCACCUGCGACCACCCGGAACCACUCAUAACGAACAUCACCGUGACCCGUGUUGAUCCAUGACCACCAGGAACUGUCUGGGACCACCCUGACCACCCCAUAUCCAUGUAGGACCUCCUGUCACCACCCCAUAUCCACCCCUGAUCUCCUGGGAAUCCCCCCCCCCUCCCGGCCACCCAUGGCCCAUGCCCACGUGGUGUCCCCAUAUUCCUUCACCCCAUGGGCUUGUUGGGGGGGUGUUUUGGGUUCAGUGGGUGUCAGCAUAUUAUGGGGUGGUCCCAUUGGGUUCUGUGGGGCCCCAUUGGGUUCUGUGGGGUUCUUUGGGGUCCCAUUGGGUUCUGUAGGGCCUCACUGGGUUCUCUGGCGUCCCAUUGGGUUCUGUAGGGCCCCAUUGGGUUCUGUGGGGUCCCAUUGGGUUCUGUGGGGUUCUGUGGGGUUCUGUGGUUCUGUGGGGUUCCGCGGUGUCACAGCUGCCGGGAUUGCUGCUGCU
rnacentral:lncRNA from 1 species